rnacentral:rRNA from 1 species
UGCCUGUAAGAUCGGGAUAACGCCGGGAAACCGGGGCUAAUACCGGAUAGUUUUUUCCUCCGCAUGGAGGAAAAAGGAAAGACGGCUUUUGCUGUCACUUACAGAUGGGCCCGCGGCGCAUUAGCUAGUUGGUGGGGUAACGGCUCACCAAGGCAACGAUGCGUAGCCGACCUGAGAGGGUGAUCGGCCACAUUGGGACUGAGACACGGCCCAAACUCCUACGGGAGGCAGCAGUAGGGAAUCUUCCGCAAUGGACGAAAGUCUGACGGAGCAACGCCGCGUGAGUGAAGAAGGCCUUCGGGUCGUAAAACUCUGUUGCCGGGGAAGAACAAGUGCCGUUCGAACAGGGCGGCGCCUUGACGGUACCCGGCCAGAAAGCCACGGCUAACUACGUGCCAGCAGCCGCGGUAAUACGUAGGUGGCAAGCGUUGUCCGGAAUUAUUGGGCGUAAAGCGCGCGCAGGCGGCUUCUUAAGUCUGAUGUGAAAUCUUGCGGCUCAACCGCAAGCGGUCAUUGGAAACUGGGAGGCUUGAGUGCAGAAGAGGAGAGUGGAAUUCCACGUGUAGCGGUGAAAUGCGUAGAGAUGUGGAGGAACACCAGUGGCGAAGGCGGCUCUCUGGUCUGUAACUGACGCUGAGGCGCGAAAGCGUGGGGAGCAAACAGGAUUAGA